rnacentral:RNase_P_RNA from 1 species
GAUCAGGUAAGGGUGAAAGGGGGCGGUAAGAGCGCAGCGCGCGGCUGGUAACAGUCCGUGGCACAGUAAACUCCACCCGGAGCAAGGCCAAAUAGGGGUUCAUGAGGUACGGCCCGUACUGAACCCGGGUAGGCUGCUUGAGGCAGUGAGCGAUUGCUGGCGUAGAUGAAUGACUGUCCACGACAGAACCCGGCUUAUCGGUCAGUUUGACGU